rnacentral:lncRNA from 1 species
AACCGGCUUGAUCUUUUGGUUUGAUUGGGAUCCGCCUGAUCCAGUGUGGCAUGGUGCUUCCUAUGAUGUUGUAGAGUGCCUCUGAAUGACUUAGAAGGUCUCCUGGUUGCCAUUCUUGAGGUUGGUUCGAUGUGAAACCCGGAUCUUCCAAAUAAGGCAAGUGUAGAGCUGGUUUGGCCGGUUUUGGGAAAUUGAUCAUAUCUUCCAAUUUCCUUGACCAUUUCUCGAGAUCUUGGGCUUUCUGGAAAGAUAAUAAACUCCUCUUGAUUCCUAUGAUCGGUUUUGGUUCAGGCCGCUUCUUCUUUGGGCUUGAAUCCUCUUCUAAAGUCGCAUACUCGCAGAUGGACGGGCUGAGAAACCUCUGAAUUGUAAAAUUCAUAACUUCUUGCUCCGUGAAUAUUUUGGGCAGAUUCCAAUUUUCCUGGACUCCCUCUUGAGUGUAGAAUCCAUAAAAAUUAUCCUCGUGAUUUAAACCCUCCUGGUUUGUAAGAUAUGGCAUUUUUAGUGCACGUAUGUCCUGGUUGGCGCCUUGGCUGGUUGAGUAGGGUGUUGGGUCGACCUCUGGUUGAGCUGCUGAAUUGCUGGCCGCAACAUUCCCUCCCCCUUGAAAAGGUUUCGACCUCGAAACUGUAUAACCUGCACCAAGAUAGAGCAAGUCAGCUUUCAUACUCUUUUGAGAUUCUAAGGUCUUACCUUGAUAUUGUUUUGGUUUGGUGAUGGAUUGUUCAUCAGGUGGCUCUUCUUUCAGCAAAUAGGAUAGGAUCACGCCUCUGCUAUGGACUUUUGCAUUGCUUCUCUUCUUCAGUGGAUGGUCCUUCAUACUCCUAGCAGGCUCAGCUCUGACCAUCUUUGGGUUUGAUCCUCCUAGCAACAAAAGAUUAUCCCGUGGGAUUUCUUCGAAGCUUUCUUCUUUGCAACCUGAAAUUUUUUUAACAUUCUGGACAAAGACCAAGUGAAUUAUAUCUGAUACUGGAAUUUCAUGAACAGAAUUUGUUAUGGUCGAAUUUACCUUGGGUGCAUCAGCAUGAUGAAGAAUGAUAUUCUUCUUUGGACAGAUUUGGUUAGAUGGCUGCCUUUCUUGCAAAUGUUUACCUUGGUUGGUAUAACCAUCUUCUUGUGAUAGCUCAGCUCGGUUUUUAUGUUCUUCUUGACUUAUCCCUGGAUCAAAACAUCUUGGCAAAGACAAGUGUAUUAUACCAAAGUAUAGGGAUUUAUAAACUGAAGAAAACAUAGAACAAUUAACCUUAAUGUCAAAUGUGGCAGUAAGAACUUCUUGUUCUUUGUUUGCCUUGUAGUAACCUUGCUUUCCUGUACCAAUUUCACUUUUCCUUGGACAAGACAAGUGCAUUAAUCUUGUCAUAGAAUCAAUAAAAACAUUCUGGUUUAAAGUGAAUUUUACCUCAGAUUUUGGCACUUGAACAGUACAUUGUUCAGAUUUCGGUUUCCACUUAUGGUGUGGAUUUUGAUUGAGCUCAUGAUCUGGUUCGGCACUUGGAACUCCAGUAAGCAUAUGGCUCUCAUCUGGUAUCCCUGUACCAAGAAUAUAAAUGUUUAAACCAGUAUCUAAAGGUGGUGUUAGACACUUACCUUGGUUUGAUACUUGGAUCACUGGUUUUGGUUUAUUAAGCAACUUUGAUUGCUUUGUGCUUUGAGCUUCCUUCUGGUCCAUUGGAAGGUUUGUGCCUGGCGCCUCUUCUUCUAUGUACCUAGGCUCAUUUAGACCUGUAAUAACACUCUUGGACAAAGACAAGUGCAUCAUACAAGUGGUAGAUGAUUUAUGAAAAGAUUUAUCAUGUAUAGGACUUACCUUAGCCUUUACUUGGACAAUAACUUGCUCUGGUUUGUCUUUGGACCUGAUCAAAGUGUUUUGGCCGACACUUGUACUCAUCUUCCUGACCUUUGGGAUGUCACUCUCCUGCUCUAAGCAGUGGACAAUGGCGUGCCCCUGGUUUGGCUGAAAGUUGGCUUCUUUAGGCAAGACUCUUUGAACUUCUUGUUCCACAAUUUUCCUUGCUUCUUUGGAACCAUGAGUUGGAUAUCUCCUUGGAUAUAGUUCCUGGAUUUCAGACCUUGUAUAAUCUGGUGCAAAUCUAUCCCUCAUGACUUCCUUAAGAGCUCUCCACGUUUUGAUAGCUGGAUCCUUGUAAAACCAUCUAUCAUCCUCUUCUUGUACCCACCAUUUAAAAGCAUCAUCUUUUAGUUGAUCAAUGGCAUAAGCUAGCCUCUCUUUCCUCAGGAUGUUGUUGUAGUGAAACCAUUCAUCAAGGUUCCUCUCCCAUCUUAGAUAACCUCUUUUUCCUGAAAAUUUAAAGAGUUCAACUUUAUCAGCAAAAGAGUUAUAAUCAAACCGAGAAUUAACAACAUAAGGGUUGUGGGUUUUAGAAGUUGGAGUUUGAUUGAUCCUUGAAGGAUCUGGUGGCUUGGGCUCGACGUAUACUGGCCCUGGUACAUUUCCAAAUCUCCUUUCUCCUUCAUGUGGACGUUGGCCUUGUGCCUGAUUUAUUUUCUCCAAUUGAGCAAUCUUAAUUUGGAGCUUUUGUAGAGCUGCGGACUGUUGGCUCAAGGUGGCCCUUAGGUUUUGGCCGUGUCUCUCCACCUCCAUUGCUUCCUGAAAACAAUCUCAAAGAAAAAGUGAAGGUAUGGAAAGUUUUGGUCUAACCAAAAUAAAACAAAUGCAAUUUAACUAAACCGAGAAAAUAUGCAAUUAUGAACCGAAAUGAAGUAACUAUACUAAAAUGAUUUUUCUUUUGGUUUUCUGAAUGAAAUUUCGAAAUUAAACAAUAUGGUAUGAAAAGAAACAAAAAUGGUAUGACUUUUUAUUUAUUUUUUUUUAAGCAAGAAACAACUAUGAAAAUGCAGAUCUUUUUUUUUUUUUUUUGAAAUGAAUGCACAAAAUCAAAAAAUGGAAAGUGGAGCUGGGGAAUGAAUGCAAACACGUUUUUCUUUUCUUUUUAUGGAUGAAAUGAAUCAAACCAGACAACAGGUCGUCUCCUAUCUCAACUUUUUAUGGCUUUUCAAUUUAUGAUGAACAAAGAACACAAAAAUGCAAAAACAGUUUUUUUUUUUUUUUUGAUUUAUAAAUGGAAAAGCAAAUGCAAACAAGAUGAAUGAUGCAAGGAUAGAAUGGACCUGAUUCAGGAGCUUAAGCUCUGAUACCAAAUGUUGUAGGCUGAGAUUCAGGGUGGGCAAGAUGGAUGAUGGAAGCUUGGAUGGGUCGACCAAAGAGAUGAUCGGAUGGGCGAUAUGAUGGAAUGCAAGUUAUGAACCUGAAAACAAAUGCAAAAUCAAAUGAGAUAUGAUUUCUAAUAUGAUAAAACAAGAUAAAUAAAGAUAGAUAGGAUGGAAUCAAGCUGCUGGUUGUGUAACACUCUCAGCUUGAUCAAAAGAUGAUUGAAGUGGAUUGAGAUGGUGCUUUGCUUGCUGGACUGAUGUCUCUCUCAAGCUUGGCAAACGAAUUGGAGUGGAAGGAUGGGGGAUUGAGGACGCCACAAGACUCUAUGGAAAGGAGCCUUGAUAAGUCAAGGUGCUUUGGAGCUGCUUCACACAAACUCAAAAGACUUAGAACAAUAGUUUUAAGAAAACUAGAAAACUGAAUAAUUCUUAUUACUUUCAAAAAUGGGUGAUUUACAAUGAAACAAAGACUAGAGCUUUAUAGGCUCGACCAAGGACUCUCUAACAGUCAUAAAAUGACAUAAGGAAAGAAAUAAAAAUCGAAAUAAUAAACUUGGAAGCAAAGGAAUUGAUGGCUCCUUGAAAACUAGCCGUUGGAGGCUUAAUGAUGAGAAUCUUGUGAAGACUUGUAUCUUGAUAGCUUCUGGACGUGGCCAUGAUCUUCAAGCCUUCCUGAAAUACUCCUUGGCCUCAGUAAAAGAGAAUAUGGCCGUUGGUCUUGGGCAAAAAUCUGUAGAAACUUCUCCAAAGCAUUUAGUGUAGAUGUUGCCAAAUAUGGAAGGUUGAUGGGAAGAGAGAUCCGCCUGAUCUCCUGGGUGCUGGUCCAGCUGAGGACGUCUUGGAUGUCUUCUGAAUGGUCUAGAGUAUCUCCUGGUUCCCAUAGAUAGCCCUGGGUCGAACCAAGUUGAAUUGGUUGAAGACUUUCCUUAAAUGAUGUCGGUUUGGCCAAUUGAUGCAAACCGGCUUGAUCUUUUGGUUUGAUUGGGAUCCGCCUGAUCCAGUGUGGCAUGGUGCUUCCUAUGAUGUUGUAGAGUGCCUCUGAAUGACUUAGAAGGUCUCCUGGUUGCCAUUCUUGAGGUUGGUUCAAUGUGAAACCCGGAUCUUCCAAAUAAGGCAAGUGUAGAGCUGGUUUGGCCGGUUUUGGGAAAUUGAUCAUAUCUUCCAAUUUCCUUGACCAUUUCUCGAGAUCUUGGGCUUU